GAGUUUGAUCCUGGCUCAGGAUGAACGCUAGCUACAGGCUUAACACAUGCAAGUCGCGGGGCAGCAUGUUACUGGCUUGCCAGUAAUGAUGGCGACCGGCGCACGGGUGAGUAUCGGGUAUCCAACCUUCCCAUAUCCACGGGAUAGCCUGCCGAAAGGCAGAUUAAUACCGUAUGUUGUCGCACGCUGGCAUCAAAAUGCGACGAAAGGCUUAGCGGAUAUGGAUGGGGAUGCGUCCGAUUAGCUUGACGGCGGGGUAACGGCCCACCGUGGCGACGAUCGGUAGGGGUUCUGAGAGGAAGGUCCCCCACAUUGGAACUGAGACACGGUCCAAACUCCUACGGGAGGCAGCAGUGAGGAAUAUUGGUCAAUGGGCGCAAGCCUGAACCAGCCAAGUAGCGUGCAGGACGACGGCCCUAUGGGUUGUAAACUGCUUUAUGCGGGGAUAAAGUAUGGGACGUGUCCCAUUUCGCAGGUACCGCAUGAAUAAGGACCGGCUAAUUCCGUGCCAGCACCCGCGGUAAUACCGGAAGGUCCGGGCGUCAUCCGGAUUCAUUGGGUCUAAAGGGAGCGUACGCCGCCCCUUAACCGUGUUGUGAAAUGCCGAGGCCUCAACCGUGGCACUGCAGCGCGAACCGGGGGACUUGACUGUGCCCCACCCACGCGGAAUUCGUGGUGUAGCGGUGAAAUGNUUAGAUAUCACGAGGAACCCCGAUUGCGAAGGCAGCUUGCGGGAGCACUACUGACGCUGAAGCUCGAAGGCGCGGGUAUCGAACAGGAUUAGAUACCCUGGUAGUCCGCGCGGUAAACGAUGGAUGCCCGCUGUGUGCCAUUCUGGUAUGCGGCCAAGCGAAAGCGUUAAGCAUCCCACCUGGGGAGUACGCCGGCAACGGUGAAACUCAAAGGAAUUGACGGGGGCCCGCACAAGCGGAGGAACAUGUGGUUUAAUUCGAUGAUACGCGAGGAACCUUACCCGGGCUUGAACUGCCAGCGGACGAUACAGAGAUGUUGAGGCCCUUCGGGGCGCUGGCGGAGGUGCUGCAUGGUUGUCGUCAGCUCGUGCCGUGAGGUGUCGGCUUAAGUGCCAUAACGAGCGCAACCCCUCUCCGUAGUUGCCAUCAUGUGAUGCUGGGCACUCUGCGGACACUGCCACCGCAAGGUGUGAGGAAGGUGGGGACGACGUCAAAUCAGCACGGCCCUUACGUCCGGGGCUACACACGUGUUACAAUGGGGGGUACAGAGCGCCGGCUUGCCGCAAGGAGAGUCCAAUCGCGAAAACCUCCCUCAGUUCGGACUGGGGUCUGCAACCCGACCCCACGAAGCUGGAUUCGCUAGUAAUCGCGCAUCAGCCAUGGCGCGGUGAAUACGUUCCCGGGCCUUGUACACACCGCCCGUC
rnacentral:rRNA from 1 species